GCUCUGGUGGCCUAGCGGUUAGGGCGUCCGCCUCAAAUGCAGGAGAUUGCUGGUUGGAACCUUGACCGAGUU